CUACGUGCCAGCAGCCGCGGUAAUACGGAAGGUCCAGGCGUUAUCCGGAUUUAUUGGGUUUAAAGGGAGCGUAGGCCGGAGAUUAAGUGUGUUGUGAAAUGUAGACGCUCAACGUCUGACUUGCAGCGCAUACUGGUUUCCUUGAGUACGCACAACGUUGGCGGAAUUCGUCGUGUAGCGGUGAAAUGCUUAGAUAUGACGAAGAACUCCGAUUGCGAAGGCAGCUGACGGGAGCGCAACUGACGCUGAAGCUCGAAGGUGCGGGUAUCGAACAGGAUUAGAUACCCUGGUAGUCCGCACAGUAAACGAUGGAUGCCCGCUGUUGGUACCUAGUAUCAGCGGCUAAGCGAAAGCAUUAAGCAUCCCACCUGGGGAGUACGCCGGCAACGGUGAAACUCAAAGGAAUUGACGGGGGCCCGCACAAGCGGAGGAACAUGUGGUUUAAUUCGAUGAUACGCGAGGAACCUUACCCGGGCUUGAAUUGCAGAGGAAGGAUUUAGAGAUAAUGACG
rnacentral:rRNA from 1 species